ensembl:lncRNA
GUUGAGAUGUUCCCAUUGCUAAGUUCAGCCAAACGUAAAACACCUGCGCGAGGAACAGUGUCCCACCAAGUGCCAGGAGCACUCUCCCCUUGCUGCUCUGAAAACGCUGGACAUGGUACAUGAACAGGAAGCAGACUUAAUCCAGGACGAUGCGGAGGUAGGGAAACACACAUUCAAACAUGAUCACAUGAGUAAUUUUACAACUGCACAUUCUGAUAAUGCUACUAAUAAAAAGGUACAAAGCUCAGAGUGUCAUGAAACAGAGGAACUCAUUCUGGUUGCGAACUCAGUGAAAGCUUCUUCGAAGAUGGAUAUUUGAGACCAGAAGAGUGAGGGAAGACAGGCGUCUUUGGGGUUGGGGGCUAGCAUUUCAGGCAGACAGGGAAUAGCAUGAAGGAAAAGAUGGAAGGGACUUGGUG